GGCUCAGGAUGAACGCUAGCUACAGGCUUAACACAUGCAAGUCGAGGGGAAACGAUAGAGAAAGCUUGCUUUUUCUAGGCGUCGACCGGCGCACGGGUGAGUAACGCGUAUCCAACCUGCCCAUCACUUGGGGAUAACCUUGCGAAAGUAAGACUAAUACCCAAUGACGUCUCUAGAAGACAUCUGAAAGAGAUUAAAGAUUUAUCGGUGAUGGAUGGGGAUGCGUCUGAUUAGCUUGUUGGCGGGGUAACGGCCCACCAAGGCGACGAUCAGUAGGGGUUCUGAGAGGAAGGUCCCCCACAUUGGAACUGAGACACGGUCCAAACUCCUACGGGAGGCAGCAGUGAGGAAUAUUGGUCAAUGGACGAGAGUCUGAACCAGCCAAGUAGCGUGCAGGAUGACGGCCCUAUGGGUUGUAAACUGCUUUUAUAAGGGAAUAAAGUGAGUCUCGUGAGACUUUUGCAUGUACCUUAUGAAUAAGGACCGGCUAAUUCCGUG
rnacentral:rRNA from 1 species